UAAUUUUAAGUAAUAUGUCACACAUCAAUGCAUCUUUAAACUAUCCUGUUCUGUACACUCUUCUAACCAGUGAGUUCGAGUUCAUCAUCUGGUCACUGGGAUUCAAUUUUCACCUUUGACCCAAAGGUUUCUUGGAUUUGUAUUUCCUAUCUCCUUGGUCACUUACUUAUAGAAUCUUGUAGUGUGAGGUUGAAUAUUUCAUUCAACCUUGGUAGUGAUUUUAUAUUUAAAGUUUCAAUAGUUUCAUUUAUUCGUAUCAAUUGUGUGUAUUUGGUAUUGGAAGAAUUAUUAACUACAGAUUUAUUAUUUACAGUUUAAAGGUAUGUGUGGCUAUUUGUUUUAUCAGUUUUAUAAGUUUAUAUAUAUUUUAUUUGUCUUUGUUAAAGUUGGCGGACAUGUUGGUUUUUGUUAAUUACAUUCUGCAAAUACAAGGCAUACAGUUUACAAUAGUAAUAAUAGUAACGCUAUUUAAAGCAUUUCGCUUUAAUAAUAUAAUUAAUAUCAAAUACCCCAUAUUUUAUUACAGACAGAGCUAUAAGGUACUUCACCUUGUUUCCAGACUCUGGUUACUUUAUUAAAAACCCCUUCAUGGGGUUUUUAUUAUAAGGUAAUAAAUUGCUGUUUUACUGAACCCUUGGUGUGGUUAUUUACUUAAUAUUUGACCCCCUACAACAUUUGGAGCCCGAUAAGGGACUACAACAGUUGAAACCUAACAAGGUGUACAACAUUUGGAGUCCGAUAAGAUGUAAUAGUAAUGGUUUAUGGUAUAUGGAAAAAAAAAACAGUAAUGGUGUGAAUUGAAUUUUCUCAACAGUGAGCUCACACGCGUGCGCGUUCGCGAAAUCUCCUGAAGGAUCGUAUGUGGUAGUGCAGUGACAUUAACUUUAUUUGUGUGUUUUCAUUUCUGUGUUUCAUAUUUGGAUCAUUAUGAGGAUAUCUAUAUAAGGUUUGUUAAAAUCUAUUUAAUUUUCAUAUAUGUAUUGAUAUGUGAAUUA